GUCCAAUUCUUCACCGACUCAGUACAUAAGAUCCCAUAGCUGGCAGAUAAGAUUGACAGCACAGACAAUUUAACUUACUUCAGGUAAACAAAGGAUUAAGGCUCUUAAACACACUAAUGUUAGGAUCAAGGUCCUAAUAGAAUAGGUGUUGUGCGUUGUGAUUGUGUUUAUUUUCCUUUUGUGGUUUGUUUCGGUGGACGCGACCUUUUUUCUUUAUCUUCGUUUUUGCCUCAGCUCUGCAUUCUUGGGAGAGAGUUGCAGAGAAAGGAGUUCAUGUUAGUAACGAGAGGGAAGACGGAGAUUAGAAUUAGAUCGAGGAAAGCAGGAGGUGUUGGGCUCAUUGUCGCGAUCUUCUGUCUCUCUCUUUUUCUCUUCAUUUUUGGCUGGGUUCUUCGCAUGUAGAGG